UACGAGGGGGGCGAGCGUUGUUCGGAAUUAUUGGGCGUAAAGGGCGCGUAGGCGGUCGGAUAAGUCUUGUGUGAAAUCUUCGGGCUCAACUCGAAGUCUGCACAGGAAACUAUCUGGCUUGAGUGUGGGAGAGGUGAGUGGAAUUCCUGGUGUAGCGGUGAAAUGCGCAGAUAUCAGGAGGAACACCGAUGGCGAAGGCAGCUCGCUGGGACGGUACUGACGCUGAGGCGCGAAAGCGUGGGGAGCAAACAGG
rnacentral:rRNA from 1 species